rnacentral:rRNA from 1 species
UGCGUAGGUGGCGAGCGUUGUCCGGAUUUACUGGGCGUAAAGCGCGCGCAGGCGGUUCGUUAAGUCUGGUGUGAAAGCUCCCGGCUCAACUGGGAGAGGUCAUCGGAUACUGGCGGACUCGAGGGAUGCAGAGGAAGGUGGAAUUCCCGGUGUAGUGGUGAAAUGCGUAGAGAUCGGGAGGAACACCAGUGGCGAAGGCGGCCUUCUGGGCAUUUCCUGACGCUGAGGCGCGAAAGCGUGGGGAGCGAACCGG